rnacentral:rRNA from 1 species
CCCUUAGAUGUUCUGGGCAGCACGCGCGCUACAAUGGUCUUCGCAAACGGAUGCAUUCUCGAAGGAGAAUGCCAAUCUUGGAAUCUAUGCCUUGGUCGGGACAGUUGCUUGCAAUUUUUCGACUCGAACCAGGAAUUCCUUGUAAUCGUGAUUCAUCACAUCACGAUGAAUACGUCCCUGCCCUUUGUACACACCGCCCGUCGCACCUACCGAUUGAAUGGUCCGGUGAAGUCUUCGGACAGUGGCAGUUUACUGCUACUGAAAGUUGAGUGAACCUAACCAUUUAGAGGAAGGUGAAGUCGUAACA